GUGCACGCAUCGCCAUGGCCACGUCCGCCACCUUGCGGAUGCCGGAGGGUAAGAACGGAGCCUUCCUCUCCAGCUAGGGCCGGCUAGAACACACAGUAUAGACAGAACCUUAAUGGAAAAGGAAUCUAGACAGCCAUUGAGUGCACCAGCUGCCGAUCCUAUCCUCCACGCCAUCCAGGCCUAUCCCCAAGCCAAGCCCCCAUAAAAACUUCAUCCCUAUCUGCCUUUUCCUCGAAUACAUUUCAUCGAACACCUUGUGUGCAUGCUUCAUCAUCACCGGUUGGAACCGAAGCCGGCGUAGCUGACCGCGGGAACCGUCGCUCGGGCCGCCUCUACUUCCUCUGCUGCCUUGGAUCAACGUCGGGAACCACGCAUCGAACACCUGCAAGCGUCGCCGACCGCUAGCCGCCCCUGUUUCGUCCGCACUGAGCUACGCGCCGCCGAACUUCGCCAUCCCGCUGUCUCUCGAAGCCGGUGAUGAAGUCUCGGAUGACCCAUAUGCUUACUACCAGGAGGGUGAAGAAGAUGGUGGCGCUUAGUAGGUCUUAGUUACGGUCGUCGCCUGUGGCAAUGGCGUCGCCGCUGCCUUGAUUCCGCUGCUUAUCUAUUUCUGCUUUUGGGAUGUAUUCCGGACCGUUUGGUCCUAUGUUCUAGACUAUGCCUGCGGGCCUAUGAUGUAAUUAUUCGCGCUAGACAAUCUUUGUAUGCGCACUUGAUAUUUCAGCAAUGUAAUCGUGAGUACCAGACUACUUGAUACAGGGAAAUGGUACUAUUCACACGAGUGAUUCCUGUUAUAAAAACGGGAGUCUACACCAUUGGUCCAAAUUUGCACACCCUCUUAUGCCACUUCCGUCGGUUGACCGUGUGUUGAUCGUUAACUCUUAAGUAAAAAAGACAUAUUUGUCCUCUCUGAGUUGUUAGGCAUGCCCUAUACUCAGAAGGGUAAAUAUGGCUUUUUUCCUUAAGAGUUAACGGUCAACACACGGUCAACUGAUGGGAGUGGCAUAAAAGGGUGCGUAAUUUUGGACCAAUGGCAUAUAAGAGAAGAGCCAAUUUUCAGUGGCAUAUAAAGGUUCAGACCACUUUUUAGUGGCAUAUAAGGGAUUCUCUCUAAGUAUAAUUCAGAUUAUUCCAAUUUUCAUCACGAAAAAUUCAGAUUGUCAUUGUUCCAACUGUCAUUAUAGAAAAGUUCAGAUUGUUCAGAUGAACAAUCUGUCAUUCAGAGCAAUGCAAUGGCAAUUGGCACUUGUUUAGACAUUCAUAUUGUCAUUUAGAACAAAGAAAACAUCUGUUAAUCAAACUGACAUUUAGACUCCAUCUGAACAAAGCAUGAUCCAUCAGAACAAAGAAAACAUUGUAAUCCAUUAUUCCAAUUGGCAUUACAGACACAAUACCAAUUUUACUGACACGAUACAAAUUUGUCAUGUUGACAAUGAUUCUACCGGCUCUACGCUAGAAUUUCUUGAUGGAAUUCAAAUUUGUCAUGCUCAAAUGGCAAAUUUCUACCCCAAAACAAAGACUUUUCCUAACUGUAGAGUGCCUAGAGUGUCAUCGACAUAAUGUCACCGCCUUGGAUCACCACACGUUGGAUGUGGCUCGCCAGGACAUCAGAAUCCAGUGUGGUUAUCAGGAGGUUGACUUGGUCUGAAUUUCUUAAUCUACGAACAAGACUAAGCUGAGAAAGAUGCAUCUUGAAACAAUAAGCUAAUUUCUGCUGGAGUAUCAAAAUUCACAGCUUGCAGUGUCAUUUGACCGAAGAAAGGUGUACUCUGCUUCCCUUAUGUUUUAUUGCAGGUACAAAGAGGAUGGUACUGUAAAACAAAAUUCAGAGUUCAGAGCCAGCAGGAGUAUCAACUUCAGAGAAAAUAAAACAUGAGAACAAAAUUCACAAUGCAGGAGAGUGAACCUUGGUGAUGCACAACGAUGCCAGGUUCGUCGAUGCCAAGAUGAUGCUUACCAGCCCCGUAUCACUGGGUUAUCUGAAACAGCAACAGGAUAAUCAACCUCCCAUCACCAUGGUAAGUUGAAGAAUUUUUGAGAUUUAGAAUGUCGAGAGGAGGAUUCUUGGGUGUGUUCGGCCGCCAUGGCGAAGAGAGGCCGGUGGUGUGGAUCCUUUCCCCAUCUGUCGCCUUGUCCAUAGCCUCCUCCGUCUUCUCAGAUUCCAACCUGGUCGGGGAUGGCGACGACGAAAUGGACCCUCAUCCGUUGUGCUGUUGUUGUGCACGAGCAGGGUUUGCAAGUUCGGUUGCCAUAGAAAUUUCGGUGGUUGCCGAGAAUUUGAGACUUUCGUGAUUUUCGGACCGAAAUUAUUUAAAUUUUUAACAUAUUUUGACUGAAUUUGAACAAAUUUUGACAAAAUUUGCAAAUAUUUGACAAAAAGCCAAAAAUUCGGGGAAGAUUUGUGCUUGCCGGUGGGGGCCGAAAAUUACCAAAAUUUCAAACCAUGUGCAUGAGUUGGAAGAACAAGGAAGAGAGGUGGCUCCGCCGUGAGAUCGAGCAACGGAGGAGGCGGGGACGAAGGCAACGCGCGAGAGGCGGAGAUGGCAGCGGUGGAAGGAAGGCGGGGGAGCAGAGGAGGAAACGGUGGCGAGAGAGAGGAGGCGGCGGUGGCGGGGAGAAGGGCAACGAUGGAACUUUGCAGUCGCACGAAGGAAGAAUUGAACUUCGGCAUGGAUAAAAUGGAAAAAAAAAAUGAGAACUGAAAAUCUGCUUAGAGGUUUCCUUGUGUAAGCAAUGAAUUGGAAAAGGACAGGGCGUUCUUGUGUUUUGCUGGUUAAGGACUGUAUUUUAAAAGGUGCAGAUUGUCUACCAAAAUGGUCCUAAUGUGUGUAUCAUAGAGGCCCAGCACAACACCUGGGGAUACACAGAAUAGCAUGCCCCAAUGCUUACUGCAUGUCAUCUGUAUGUCCUUAUAUUGCAACAUGGCAGAACGUUUUCACUA